UGUCUUCUUCUUUUUUUGGGAAAAGGUGCAACCAUCAAGGACUCAAUUAAAUAGUCAAAUUGGCAACAACUUCACACACCAAAAUAAACUAAAAUGAACUGUUCCUAUACUAAGAAAUACAAAAGAGUUCAUCACCAGUCAUAACCUUUUCGCCGAGAAGUAUGUCCAUACACAAUCAGCAGAUAGCCCUGAAACACAUAUUACUGGAGUAAGGUCGCUUGCUGGUCCAUAUCGUGGUAUACAAGCUUGGGUUGAAGCACAUGACCUAAAAAUCAAAAAGGAUCAAGCCUCAUAUAGUCAAAUAUACAGUAUUUAGGCAGUGGGGCGAAUUAACAGACCAAUUAUAUCUCUACGGGGUUUAUGGUAGGUUUUAUAUUUUAUUGUUUUUCUCUUUCCUUAAUCCAUAUGAUAUUGUUAGUAAUUAUUGCAACUUUUCUCAGAUAAAUCCAGGAAUUUUUGGCAACAGACGUGUUUGGUCAUAUGGAUUUUGGAUGGUCUGCAUAUAUAUAUAUAUGAUUAACUUAUUUGGUUUCCGUUGAUUGUGUAGACAAUAUGUAAAUAUUAUUGAUAGGGUAAAUAUGGGAAAGGAUGCAAUACAGGCUGUUCAGGGUUUGUUCAAGUAUCACAGACAAUCCCCAUUGUUCAACCCAUUGAUAUUUCGCCAACGGAGCGUUCCCUUUUAAGUCCCUUCAUCCAUCAGAAUAAAAAUACAGGAAACUGGUGGCUUACACAUCUAGGGCCAGAUGAACCCUACGGGAUAUCGGUUAUUGGCCAAAAAUAUUAUUUAACCUUUUUGACAAUGGUGCAAAUAUAGAUGGAGUUGGUUGUGUGGUUAAGGCUUCGCCUUCUGGUUCAAGCCCUCCAAUGGGUAAUGGGUAAAUUUCCGGAUGGAGGCCGGAGAACAUCAGCAAUUUUUUGCAAACAUUGAUGUCUUGAAUUCUAACUACAAGCAAAGUAAAAUCAGUUCUUUUCCUAUUUAGAUAUUGGUAGAUAGUCCACAAUGCUACACACUACAAGAAAAUAGCCUUUUUGCAACAGAAGAAUUGUGACGUCCAUUUUCCUUAAUAAUUUGCUAUGAUUAUUGCAAUAUUUUUGCAAUAAUGAAUA